rnacentral:rRNA from 1 species
UACGUAGGGUGCAAGCGUUAAUCGGAAUUACUGGGCGUAAAGCGUGCGCAGGCGGCUAUGCAAGACAGAUGUGAAAUCCCCGGGCUCAACCUGGGAACUGCAUUUGGGACUGCAUGGCUAGAGUACGGUAGAGGGGGAUGGAAUUCCGCGUGUAGCAGUGAAAUGCGUAGAUAUGCGGAGGAACACCGAUGGCGAAGGCAAUCCCCUGGACCUGUACUGACGCUCAUGCACGAAAGCGUGGGGAGCAAACAGG